UUAUUUCUCAAAAAUCAUCAUGAAAUCUCCAAUGAGUAAGAAUAAAGAAUGAAAUGUACAUAAAUAUACACAAAACAAAAAUUAUCCAAAAAAUUUUAUUGUUGAAAAAGUUUGAAACAAAAUUGCUCAAUCAAAUAUGAUACAAAUGAGAAGAGAGAAACUCGUAAAGAGCUCAACACAUACACUUUUUGUCUCCUUUUCUUUUGGAACAAAAUGUAUUAACAAAUCAAAUAAAUAGAAUUUCCCCUUUAUGCUUUCGCGGCAAUGUCUACCUAAAAAUCAAGUAAUACUUGUAAUCUUCAAGCUUUAUUGGAUCAAAAUUAUCAGAUAUAGAAGAAUAUUCUCGCCUUAUUGAAACAUUUUUAUAAAUGCAGGGGGAGGGGAAAACAAAAAGAAAAAUACCCAGAGUCAGUAAGUAAGAAUAAAAAAAAUCGGUAUGCAUGUCCUAUGGGGGAACCCUUUUUAUGCCAAGGGUAAGCCUAGCAUGAAAAUGCAAUCCUCUAGGGAAGCACUAUACCAUACCUGACGGAUCUGAUCAACUCAUUGAGUGAAAAAUAAUUUGAAAAAUUUGGCCAUUGGAGUGGCAAGAGAUUUGUCAAAAUGAGGACAACGUCCGAAUAGAUUGAUCACCUUUGAUUUGCAAAACGCAUGGGUUUGACCUUGACGAACUCCUAUCGAAGAGAUUGGAAUUCGUUGAUAAAAUUUCUCAGUGAAUUACGGGUCAAAAACCCUAAUUGAUCAAGUGAUUGGAUGCAAUGGACGGUUUUCUUCAAAAUUGACUAGAUUUCCCAAUUUGGAAUUCGACAUUGAAAUCCUAAUUGGUCAAAUGAAAUUGACAAUUUAUUGAAAAUCGACCGGAUUACCCUAGAAGGGAAACAGGUCAAAAACGGCUCGGUUGCCCUAAAAAAAGGUAAAUUGGCCAAAUGAAUGAAAUUGAAUUAGUGACUUGUUCAAAAAUCGGCCGAACGACCCUAAAAAGGGUAAAUCGGUCAAAUGAAUUGAUGAUUUAUUCAAAAUCGACCGGAUGACCCUAAAAAGGGUAAAUUGGUCAAAUGAAUUGACGAUUUAUUCAAAAUCGACCAGGUGACCCUAAAAAGGGUAAAUUGAUCAAAUGAAUUGAUGAUUUAUUGAAAAUCGACCAGGUGACCCUAAAAAGGGUAAAUUGGUCAAAUGAAUUGACGAUUUAUUCAAAAUCGACCGGAUGACCCUAAAAAGGGUAAAUUGAUCAAAUGAAUUGAUGAUUUAUUGAAUGAAUGGGUAAAAUGGAUUGGUUGUGUCGCGCCCCACUUUUUGAAAAAUAAGUGUGAAUGUGUGAUGGUGUGUGAGUGUGUGUGAUAUACAUGUGAACGUGUGCGGAAUGAAAAGUAAAAGGCCAUGGGACUUAGAAUGCGACGAUUUGGCCAAGUGAAGUUCAAAAGGGUUUUGGUAUCAAAAAAUGGAGUCGCCACUUGGUAUAGAGUUAGGGUGUACCAAGUCACCCAAAAAUGAUUUUUGUUUUUGAAUAAAAAAAAGUAAAUAAACCCUUUUUGAGAACUUUUGGGUCUGCGUAACCAAAAGAGGGAUCGGGGGUCACAUUUGACGAAGGGGAAGGCAAGGAUAAAAAUCCAAGGCACCCCUUCGACCUAGCCAAGGCUAGUUGCGUGACUUAAACCAAUUUUCCUAAUUUUUCUACCCAAUGUAUGUUCGCACGUUGGAUAUGACUAUAUGAAUGCAAAACGGAAAGGAAAAUGCAAUCCUAAAUUCUACGAUGUCUUUCGUGAGGCUUUUGGUCCCAAACCACAUGAAUUGUGGCGGCCAACAAAGGAAAACCCCCAUAGAGGUCGAUUAAUGCAAAUGAGACUCAAAUGUGCAAGUGUGGAAGUGUAUGAAAGAAAUUAAAAAUCCAAGUGUUUGUGUGCAAGUGUAUGAAAAGGUGCACGUGUGCAAUUGUAUGAAAAUUCCAAGUGUUUGUGUGCAAGUGUAUGAAAAGGUGCACGUGUGCAAUUGUAUGAAAAUUCCAAGUGUUUGUGUGCAAGUGUAUGAAAUAUAGUGAUAAGUGCAUAUAGGUGUAAUUAAAUGCAAUUUUGUGAAGUAGAAAUCAAAAUGAACAACAAGGAAAGGAAAAUGUGAAUUGAAAAGAAUGAGUGAGUGAUAAAUGAGAAUGAAUGAACCUAAGGGAAUGCAUCAGGUCGGGUAUGGGAAUGACUCCUAACUUGUCGACUUCGAUUUUCCCUUUGAUUAGAAGGUAAAACUAGCGUGCUAAGGCUAUCGAGUAGCCACACUCGCUCGUUUCCCUUAUCAGAAGGGGACCUUCAAGCAAAUGGACCCUACAACUAUCAUGAUAUGCAAAAAUCCUAAAAUGAAGGGAAAGGGGGUUCGAGGAGCAUGCCAAGUGAUAAAACUAAGAAAAAUGCAUGAUAUGUGGUGAACAAGCAAAUGAUAUGCUAAUGAGGGGAAAUCCCUAAGGGUCUAGCGUUGGACUAGCCCAUUCUAUGAAUUCCGACUAGCGUUGGACUAGCCCAUUCUAUGAAUUCCGACUAGCGUUGGACUAGCGGAAACGUACAUUCAUCCAUUCCAUUCAUUCAUGGCUAUGAAAGCAAGUAGACAUGCCAAAAUACUCGUAAACACAUAGCACAUAGCAUUUAGCAUGCUCGACUAGAUGCAAGAGCCUAAUAAAGCAAUUAAACAUGUAGCAACAAAAACAAGCAAGCAAGGGGAAGGGGAAGUGGACCAGAUGCUCUCCGAGCCCUAUCUAUUACAAGCCAAGAGGUGUACACAUACCCCAUAAAAGCAUAAAGGGGAAGGGGAAGUGGACCAGAUGCUCUCCGAGCACUAUCUAUUACAAGCCAAGAGGUGUACACAUACCCCAUAAAACUUAAAUAAAAGUAAGGCAAGUAAAUGCACGCAAGGAGGUAAGGAAAGCGAAGUAGACAGGCAUAUUCACAUAACACAUAAGGUCACAUAGGAUCAAAUGAAGUGCAAAUGAGGGAUAGAGUGUACCUCCCUUGGAAUGGAGUCCAAAUGAAGUGAAAUUAUUCAAUUACCCUCCAAAAUAAUAAAAAGGUCAUGGCACCACUUUAUUUAAGAAAAAUUAAAAGAAAUGGGCAAAACAAGGCUCACCUAGUCAUAAAGUCCCUAAAGUCAUAACUUAAGUGCAAUUUAAGCAAAGCAAGGUGGCUAAUUGGAAUCGAACAAACAAUGAAAUUGCAAAAGUUAAAACUACCAAGGACCAAGUUGAAGACAUUAUUCAAUUAGUUGGGUCAAAGUAGCAUUAGUUAGAAGCCAAGGGGUCAAAAUGCAAUUUUAGAAAAUUAUUUCAUGCAAUCUUCAUGCAAAGAACGUAGCUUAUAUUCUGCAACAAAGUUUCAGCCAUUUCUAAAGCCUUUUGCACUAUUCUAGCCGUAGCUUGCGUUUCAAUUCAUUGUCUUAAAUGAAACAAAAAUGUAAUCUUCAUCCGAACACAGCCCAACAUCCCAAUCCAACAUCAAACCGCAAUUUCUAGCAAGAAAACAAAGCUAAACAUUUGAAUAUACAAACAGCAAGAGAAAUUCUGCAUUUUUCGACAUAUGAUUUCAGCAAUGAGACUUGCUGCAUUUUCUUUCAACCUCUGAUUUCUAAUCCCAGCUUUGAUUAGAUAUUUUCAACCCAACAUCACCACUUUAGAUUAAGCAAGCAAAAAACUACACAGCCUCCACGAUUCAAACAAGCAAACUCUUAGAAAAAGCAACAUCAUGCGAAAUUCUGGACAGCAUGCUUGAAAAACAAAAGUUUCUGCAAUAAAAAAAAAAACAAAGCUUGCGGCCCUUUGCCAAGCUCAACGCAAUUUUCCAGGUUCACAGCUUCAAACUAGGCAAUAUACUACAUCAUUAACAUCAUCCUAGCAAACAGAAAUCUUAGCAACAUCCCACGCAAAAAAAAUCCAGGCAAUUAUGCAAGCAUUUGAUGAACUAAACUAAUGCAACCUUUCUAGUUUUACCCUCCAAAACCAGAUUUCAUAGCCAAGCAUAUGCACUUUUGGACCAUAAAAUCCUUAUGUUUAAGCACAAUAAAUUGAACAAAAACUGUAUAAGUAUCGAAGAACAACAUUCUGUAAUUUGGAAGCAGAAAAAUUCAUGUCAAACUUCGAACCAAAACCAGCAGACCCAUCACUCGAAACCUUUAACAAGCUGAACAUUUUGAUGAACGCAAACCAGUUGCAAAACCAAACCAUUAAAAACCAAACGAGGAACCCAACGAAUAGCACAGAAACAACAACCAGAUUUCUGGAUUUUAUCUUUAAGAAAUUAUCCUAACAAAAGGAUCGGCAAAUUAAGCUAACAUGGAGGAACCAGAAAUGAAUUCCGAUUUGAAAGCGUAGACAGCAACAAUAAACAGAAAGAAAAAUCAAAAUGACGAUUCAACAAAGAACAAAAAGGAAAGGGACUAAGACACCAAUCUAGGAGAGUACUUGCCCAAACGUUUUUGGAUCAAAAUCUGGACAGGAAACGUCAUGAAAGAGCGGCCGAAGCUGUCCCGUUCGGCUCCGAAACCGCACCAGCAAAAUUAAGCAGCGAUCUUUGGGGGCGAAUUCAAAGGAUCAUUCGAUGUUUUCUGCCAACAAAUUCUGAACGAAACCUCCUCCCCUUACUUCCUAGUUAGUGCAGAAACUGAGAGUUACUUAAAAGAACCAGAGAUCAAAGAGAAAUCUGAUCCGGAACAUGGCUCAUAGCCGGCCUUUGGUCAGAAAAAUUGCAGCUUUAUCACUUCUGUUCCAAUUUUGUUCGUAGCCUUCUUCUCCUCCGUCCAUUGCUCAUUUCCUCCUUGCUUAUCACGGUUCCUUCCCCAAGCUCUUCCUCUCUCUGCUUUCCUUCUUCCUUCUUCCAGAACCCACGCCGUCAAUCUCUUUCUUUCUACAUCUAUUUGCUUCAGCCGCCACCUUGCCCUUUCUUUUCUUUUUCCUCUCAAAGCUCCUCCUCUCCGUUUUUCUGGUUUCUUUCCUUAGCCCACCGAAGCCUCAGCUCUCCCAUUGCUCUCCCCUCUGUCCAGUUUUGCUCCCGUUUUUUCUUUCCGCUCCCGUUAGCUGCAAAACUCUCCCCACGAUGAAGCUCUCCUUGCGGCUGAUGUCUUCUUUCCUUUUUGUACCAUCUCCCAAUCCCCUAAACCUGCUCUCAAUGGCCAGCAAUCAACCUCCUCUCAGCCCCUUAUCUUAGCCAUCCGAUGGGCAUUGAGGUUGUGCCUCGCACGCUGCAAAAAAAAAAAAAUGCAGCGUGCACGCUGCGGUAAUCUCUUUUUUUUUUUUUUUAUAAAAAGAAUGCAUAUAAAUGAUAAUAAUAAUAAUAACAAAAUGACAGAACCAUGCAAUAAUAAUAAGAACGAAAACAAAUAAAUAAAUAAUAAAAAAAACAAACUAAAUAAAAACGACAAAAUGUCCAUUUUUCAAAUUUUCUACAUUUUCUUUCUUUUCAUUUUCAUUCAUUUUCUUUUUCUCAAAAUAACUUAAUAAAAAUAACUAAAGUGCCCAAAGAUUGAAUAAACAUAUUUUGUGAACAAAUUUUCCCUUUUUUUCUUUUUUUCAUUUCAAGAAUUUCUAUGCUAAAAACUUAAAAAUAAAAAUAAAACUAUAAACUAAAAACUAAAAAUCGAAUAAAACUAGCAUGACAAAUAAAAACUAAAAAUAAACAGUAAAUGAAAUUACACCAAAAAUUUGGUGUCUACAGGUUGAAUUGUCCGGCCAUUGGUGAUUUCAAAAUGAUUGAGAUGCAUUAGUCUAUGAGCUUCUAAAAAUCAAAUUUUGGCCUCAAUUUAUUUAUCGUCUCAAUAGAAGGAAUCAUUUGUGAAUUUCUUCAAAUUACUGUCCUUCACGCAAGGAAUUUUUACCAAUUUUUGAUAAAAUGGCCAAAAAGUGAUUAUUAGAUGCUCAUAUUCCAAAGAUCACUCUAUGAAAAUGAUCGGAUCCUACCUUACCUUGUGCACUACCCCCUUUGGAUGGUACAAAAUGUAAACGUGCAAGUCUCACUGGAUUAAGUAUCCGAGACACAAGGUGGCUUAUUCCUGACACGGGAUCCCCUAAAUGGCAUUCCCUUUCUAGGGUUUAUGCAUGAUGUCAUUUAUUAAAGCGAUGUAAAUAUGUGACAAAUAUGACCUAAGGGACAUAAAUAAUGCAUCGGGGGAAAAAAGGUCUAAAAUGAAAUGUAUUUAUUAAGUAUAAUGACUGAAAUUUAAACAUGUGAGUUAUCUAGUGGAUAGGUCACUAAAAGAGUGCCAAAAGGGCCUCUUAUUGCUAGGGCAUAUGAAUGCAAGCCAAGAAAACAAAAGAAUGGUUAGUGCAAUUGGUAAUACACAUAACAUAUUGGGAGCAAUUAAGAAAAAGAAAUACAAUAAAGCAAGUAAGAGGGGUGGAACCCCUUCCCUCGUGCCUAAUGUGUUUAAAAUAGGGUGAGGCUGACUCUAACCUAGGAAAAUUCUAACAUGGAUGCAUGAGGCUGGGGUUCACUAAUGCAUCUAGACUCGAUAAGGUUUCGGCUCCCAAGCCUUCAGACCUAAAGGCGAAGGGUCAUCACUCCCAGGGCCUUUGAUCGGUGGCUCGAGUGAUCCCUUAGGUAGCGCUAUGGGCGCAGAGCACACCAGCCGCCUACCCAAGGCGCCUACCCAAGGCAAUCGAUCCUAAUCCUACAAGGCGGUGUGGGAAACGCCCACGAAAAAUAAAAUAAAAUGGGAUAAAAGCAAGUAAACGUGCACGUAUGAAGUGUUUUCCUAUUUUGAGGGAAGGGGUUGAGAACCACGAGAGGCUCUAAAGGUGACACACCCCCUCCCAAAUGCAAUGCAAGCGCGAGAUAAACAAGUAAACAUACAUCCAAUCAACCAAUCACACGUACGUGAGUGAGGGAAUAGUUUGAUACGCGCGUGAGGAAAAGGGUCCUAAAAAGGGAAAAUGCAACCCUAAUAUCCACAUGCUAUACAUAAAAAAGGUAGAAAAAAGGAAAAGAACGGCUAAAUCAAAUGCUCGGACCCACUUAGGAAGUCCCCAGUGGAGUCGCCAACUGUCGCGCCCCACUUUUCGAAGAUGAUGAGUUGUGGUGUGUGUGUGGUGUGAGAUGUGAGUGGUGUAAUGGAAUGUGAACGUGUGUAAAUGAAAAGUAAAAGGCCAUGGGACUUGAUAAUGCGACGGUUUGGCCAUAUAAAGUUCAAAAAGGGUUUUUUGUAUCAAAAAUGGAGUCGCCACUUGGUAUAGGGUUAGGGUGUACCAAGUCACCCAAAAAAUGGUUUUUUGUUUUUGAAUAAAAAAAGUAAAUAAACCCUUUUAAAGAACUUUUGGGUCUACGUAACCAAAAAGAGGGAUCGGGGGUCACAUUUGACGAAGGGGAAGGCAAGGAUAAAAAAUCCAAGGCACCCCUUCGACCUAGCCAAGGCUAGUUGCGUGACUUAAACCAAUUUUUCCUAAUUUUUCUACCCAAGGUAUGUAUCGCGUGUUGGAUAUGUCUAUAUGAAUGCAAAACCCUAGACCUAGGGGUAUUGGGGGAAAUUUCUCUUCAAAGGUUGAGUGGUGCCAAUCACAUUAAUUGUGAAGCCCAAUAAUGAUCCUUUGGAGAGGUCACACGUAAUCCUAAAUGACGUAAAAAUGAAUGGGGUGCAUGUCAUGUGAAAAUGUAAGUUUAUGUGAAGUGAGAAAAGUGGAGGUGUGCAAAUGUAUUUACAAGGUAAGGUGAGUAAAGAAUGAUAAUGUGAAAAUAAUAUAAAGUGCAUGUGUGCGAGUGAUAUGGCAUAGAGUGUGAGUAGUUAAAUGAAAACGUGUAAAAGUAGUGUGAAGUGAGAAUGUGGAAAAAGGGUUAGAAUAUAAAGUAAGUGUAUGUGAUAGUGAAUGAAUAGAAUGCAUGAAUCCUAUAGGAAUGCAUCAAGACGGGAACGGGGAGUCCUAACUUUGUGACUUAAUCUUCCCUUUGAUUAGAAGGCGAAACUAGCGUGCUAAGGCUAUCGAGUAGCCACACUCGCUCGUUUCCCUUAUCAGAAGGGGACUCUUCAGGCAAAUGAACCCUAUAACUAGCAUGAAAUGCAAAAAUCCUAAAAUGAGGGGAAAGGGGAAUCGAGGAGCAUGCCAGAUGAUAAAACUAAGGAAAAAUGCAUGAUAUGUAGUGAACAGGCAAAUAAUGCAUUAAUGAAAAACAAAGGAAAAAUCCUAUUGGGUCUAGCGUUGGACUAGCCCUUUCCAUGAAUUCCUAAUGAAAUAAUGAACCACAACUAGCAUUGGACUAGUGUGGUGACGUACAUUCAUCCAUCACAUUUAUUCAGGCUAUGGAAAGCGAGUAGACAUGCCAAACACUUAUAAACACAUAGCACAUAACAUUUUGCAUGCUCGACUAGAUGCAAGGCCCUAGCAAAGCAAAUUAACACGUAGCAACUAAGCAUGCAAGGCACAUGAGACAAUUAAAGCCCUAACUAUUACAUUUGCUAGCUAGGCACAAGUCUUCGAUAGGUCUUCAUUGAAUGCUCCUCCAAGCCUUAUCUAUUACAUUAGGGGGACCCUACUACAAUCUAAAAGGGGGAAAGGGAAUAAAAUAAUUGAAUCCCUAACUAUUACAAGCCAAGAGGUGUACACAUACCCCAUAAAGAAUAAUUUAAAUAAAAAGCAAAAGUAAAUGAAAUAAAUGAAAUAAAUGAAAGGAGUUAAAGGAAUGGCAAGGAAAGCAACG
rnacentral:lncRNA from 1 species